CUCCUCAGUCCAUUAUUCUAGCCUCCAUUUUCCUGCUGAUGCAUAUAUUCCUCAAACAACUGUUGUGUUAUUCCUGUCUACAAGAGAUGCAGUGCACAAUCUAUGUCCUGUUGUUCAGAUGGACUUCCACUUAGCUAUAAAGAGAUUUUUUAUUCCAAUGCGAGGAUACAAAGGAGCCGAAAAACUGCACUACAAUUCAAAAUACAACCUAAGAUAUAUGUUCGAGAUUCUAUCAUCUGCCAGAUAGCAUAAACCAGGCCUUUCAGUGUUUUCUGUAGUACCUCUACCUAAAGUUAGCAACAAAUUUGUAGUUCAAUAAUCUAGAUCUCCAUGGAAUACUUUGGACUACAAAAUUUGCUCGCAAAUUUGUCCCUACAUUGGAACAUACUAAAUAUUAGUCUCCUACACUGGUAUACUUGAUUCUUACUUCUAAGUUUUGUUCACCAAAUUUUCCAUAUAUACAUAUGUAAUCAGAGCUUCCUACUUAUCACAUAUAUGCCACCUUUUUUUCCUCGUCAGUAUAUAUUGUGUUUCAUUGCAGGUUACCACAAUGACUUUCACUCUUCCCCCCUGUUUAUGUUUGAAGGAAAUGGAAAUAUUGUGGCUGCGUAGAGGAUCCUCGUAUGUAACAAGCCCCUUAUUUGCUGAUUAAAAGGCUGCAGUUUUUGCUUCAGUCUAAGAGUCAUGCAUUGCAUAGCAGAAUCUUGAGUUGUAGACCAAGAAUGAUGCAAUUCAAACACCGCAUAUGAUUGUCAAGGAAAUAUCACAUAAGAUAGGUACUAUGCAUGGGCUGUUGAGCUCGAGAAGCAGGUAAUGGGCUGGUUGUUGUGGUUUCUGAUCCAACUUCUUGCAGACUGAGAAACUCGACAAUGAUAUUACAGAACAAAAAAAAAGCUCUAGAGGCUAGAGAUGGCAAUACUAAUAAGAAUGUGGAAGAACUCAAUACAAUGCUAGAGAAAGUAAGCGUGUGGCUGUGGCUGCGGACUUAUCUUCUUUGCUACAUUAGGCUACUAUAUUUUCUACUUUACUAGCAUUUGCAAUUA